rnacentral:rRNA from 1 species
AUUGAACGCUGGCGGCAGGCCUAACACAUGCAAGUCGAGCGGAUGAAGGGAGCUUGCUCCUGGAUUCAGCGGCGGACGGGUGAGUAAUGCCUAGGAAUCUGCCUGGUAGUGGGGGAUAACGUCCGGAAACGGGCGCUAAUACCGCAUACGUCCUGAGGGAGAAAGUGGGGGAUCUUCGGACCUCACGCUAUCAGAUGAGCCUAGGUCGGAUUAGCUAGUUGGUGGGGUAAAGGCCUACCUAGGCGACGAUCCGUAACUGGUCUGAGAGGAUGAUCAGUCACACUGGAGCUGAGACGCGGUCCAGACUCCUACGAGAGGCAGCAGUGGGGAAUAUUGGACAAUGGGCGAAAGCCUGAUCCAGCCAUGCCGCGUGUGUGAAGAAGGUCUUCGGAUUGUAAAGCACUUUAAGUUGGGAGGAAGGGCAGUAAGUUAAUACCUUGCUGUUUUGACGUUACCAACAGAAUAAGCACCGGCUAACUUCGUG